AUGCCAUUCCAGGAUUGCAUUAGAGCAAUAGAUGGUACUCAUGUCACCGCCAGAGUGCCGAGGUCACAAGCUGCAACAUAUAGAGGGAGGAAGCACUACACAAGUCAGAAUGUGCUAGCUGCUGUUGACUUCGAUCUGAAGUUCACAUAUGUGCUGGCUGGCUGGGAAGGAUCAACACAUGAUGCUAACAUUCUCAGUGACGACAUGAGUCAUCAUGAUGGAAUCAACAUCCCCGAUGGCAAGUUCUACCUUGGAGAUGCUGGCUAUGCAUGUCGGCCAGGUGUUCUUCCACCCUUCAGAAAAACCAGGUAUCAUCUAAACGAGUUUGCUGGUAGGAACUAUCCUAGGACUCCUCAUGAACUGUUCAAUUUCGGACACUGCAACCUUAGAGUGACUGUUGAAAGGGCCUUUGGAGCUCUGAAGAACAAGUUUAAGAUCCUGGAUCAGAAGCCAUUCCACUCUUACCCUACCCAGGUGAAGCUUGUUCUUGCAUGUUGCAUCAUUCACAACUGGAUUCUGCAAUGGGGGUUGAUGAAUUUGUGCCAUAGGAAGAAGAUGUCACUCUUGAUGAGGUGA
rnacentral:rRNA from 1 species